rnacentral:rRNA from 1 species
CCUACGGGAGACAGCAGUGAGGAAUAUUGGUCAAUGGGAGAGAUCCUGAACCAGCCAAGCCGCGUGAGGGAAGACGGCCCUAUGGGUUGUAAACCUCUUUUGUCGGAGAACAAAACCCGGGACGUGUCCCGGACUGCGUGUAUCCGAAGAAAAAGCAUCGGCUAACUCCGUGCCAGCAGCCGCGGUAAUACGGAGGAUGCGAGCGUUAUCCGGAUUUAAUGGGUUUAAAGGGUGCGGAGGCGGUCCGUUAAGUCAGCGGUAAAAUUGCGGGGCUCAACCCCGUCGAGCCGUUGAAACUGGAAGACUUGAGUUGGCGAGAGGUACGCGGAAUGCGCGGUGUAGCGGUGAAAUGCAUAGAUAUCGCGCAGAACUCCGAUUGCGAAGGCAGCGUGCCGGCUCCAGACUGACGCUGAGGCACGAAAGCGUGGGGAUCGAACAGGAUUAGAUACCCGAGUAGUC